rnacentral:rRNA from 1 species
UACGGGGGGAGCAAGCGUUGUUCGGAUUUACUGGGCGUAAAGGGCGCGUAGGCGGCCACUGCAAGUCAGUUGUGAAAUCUCCGGGCUUAACUCGGAAAGGUCAACUGAUACUGCAGGGCUAGAGUGCAGAAGGGGCAACUGGAAUUCUCGGUGUAGCGGUGAAAUGCGUAGAUAUCGAGAGGAACACCCGUGGCGAAGGCGGCUCUCUGGGACGGUACUGACGCUGAGACGCGAAAGCGUGGGGAGCGAACAGG